CAUAUCAUUAAGCGGAGGAAAAGAAAAUAACCAUGAUUCCUUGAGUAACUGCGAGUGAAAAAGGAAGAGCCCAUCGCUGAAGCCUAGCAUGAUGCAAUCUUGCUCAGGCAAUGUAGCGUAUGAGACAAGCACACACGGGUGUUGCAGCCAGCCAAAGCAUCUUGAUCGUGCCUACCCCUAGCAGGUGAAAGGCCUUUUAGUGCUGGCAAUGCACCGCCCCUAUGCUUGUUCUCGAGAGUCGGGUUGCUUGGAAAAGCAGCCUAAAGUAGGUGGUAAACUUCACCUAAGGCUAAAUAUCACUACGAGUCCGAUAGCAAACAAGUACCGUGAGGGAAAGUUGCAAAGAACUGUGAAGACAGAGUUCAAAGUACGUGAAACCGUAUAGAGGUAAACGAACAAGACCCGUAAGUCUUUGAGCAAUAUUCAGGCUGUGGUGAUGCAGUUGUGCAGUGGCUCUCAACGAGGUGUGGAUCUUUUCAUGCUAGUUGUCAUUGCUCAUUUAUUGUGUUGCUACUGUUGUAAUUGUUGCUCAGAGUGCGCCACACUCAUUGCCGUCCUAUGGGCRAGUAUCAGGGGCUGUCUGCUUUGUAGCAUUCGUGUUGCAUUGUGGUAUCGACAUGAUGCUUGUUGAUUUCGAUAGGCGAGCAAUGUAAGCAUUGUCUGUGUGCCAAUAAAAAGGCUUUGCUCUUGCUAGGUUGUGUUGUCACUGUUGGUUGCCUCGGUAGCCUURAUUCACUUAAAGGGCUCACUUGUUGUGUUCUUAAGGAGUGCAGUGGYGGCGCGGCUUGGUGGAGAGCAGCACAGUGAGUGUGUGGCGAUUUUGUGGGUGUCUUGUACGACCCGUCUUGAAACACGGACCAAGGAGUUCAGCAGGUGCGCGAGUCGAAGAGUUUGAAAACUCGUAGGCGCAAUGAAAGUAAAGAUGAUCUAGCUUAUCGUCGUGGUGGGAUCCGUAGUGAGCAAUCGCUGCGGCGCACCAUCGGCCCGACACUGAGAGCUUGCUCAUGUGUGUCGGAGCAAGAGCGUAGCUGCUGUGACCCGAAAGAUGGUGAACUAUGCGUGACGAAGUCGAAGCCGGAGGAAACUCUGGUGGAAGACUGUAGCGAUUCUGACGUGCAAAUCGAUCGUCACAGUUGCGUAUAGGGGCGAAAGACUAAUCGAACCAUCUAGUAGCUGGUUCUCUCCGAAGUUUCCCUCAGGAUAGCUGGUACUCGCCAGGGAACAAUUUCACCCGGUAAAGCGAAUGAUUAGAGGCAUUGGGAACAAUCUGAUCUCAACCUAUUCUCAAACUUUAAAUGAGUGAGAGCUGUGGUUACAUAAUUUUGCUGUAAUUGCAGUGCGAAUGUUUCGAGUACCCAGUGGGUCACUUUUGGUAAGCAGAACUGACGCUGUGGAAUGAACCAAACGCCUGGUUAAGGUGUCCAAGGAGGGACACUCAUCAGAGCCCAUUAAAAGGUGUUGGUCGAUAAAGACAGCAGGACGGUGGCCAUGGAAGUCGGAANCCGCUAAGGAGUGUGUAACAACUCACCUGCCGAAUCGACCAGCCCUGAAAAUGGAUGACGCUCAGUGUCACACCUAUACCAGGCCGUCACGACA
rnacentral:rRNA from 1 species